GACGAACGCUGGCGGCGUGCUUAACACAUGCAAGUCGAGCGGAAAGGCCCCUUCGGGGGUACUCGAGCGGCGAACGGGUGAGUAACACGUGAGCAACCUGCCCCUGACUCUGGGAUAAGCCUGGGAAACUGGGUCUAAUACCGGAUACGACCACCGAUCGCAUGGUCUGGUGGUGGAAAGUUUUUUCGGUUGGGGAUGGGCUCGCGGCCUAUCAGCUUGUUGGUGGGGUAGUGGCCUACCAAGGCGACGACGGGUAGCCGGCCUGAGAGGGCGACCGGCCACACUGGGACUGAGACACGGCCCAGACUCCUACGGGAGGCAGCAGUGGGGAAUAUUGCGCAAUGGGCGGAAGCCUGACGCAGCGACGCCGCGUGGGGGAUGACGGCCUUCGGGUUGUAAACCUCUUUCAGCAGGGACGAAGUUGACGUGUACCUGCAGAAGAAGCGCCGGCUAACUACGUGCCAGCAGCCGCGGUAAUACGUAGGGCGCAAGCGUUGUCCGGAAUUAUUGGGCGUAAAGAGCUCGUAGGUGGCUGGUCGCGUCUGCCGUGAAAGCCCGCAGCUUAACUGCGGGUCUGCGGUGGAUACGGGCCGGCUAGAGGUAGGUAGGGGCAAGUGGAAUUCCUGGUGUAGCGGUGAAAUGCGCAGAUAUCAGGAGGAACACCGGUGGCGAAGGCGGCUUGCUGGACCUUACCUGACGCUGAGGAGCGAAAGCGUGGGGAGCGAACAGGAUUAGAUACCCUGGUAGUCCACGCUGUAAACGUUGGGCGCUAGGUGUGGGGGUCUUCCACGAUCUCCGUGCCGGAGCUAACGCAUUAAGCGCCCCGCCUGGGGAGUACGGCCGCAAGGCUAA
rnacentral:rRNA from 1 species